AUAUUCACUGGAGCAUGGUCAAACUCCCAAUGGCCAUCCUCUUAAAGAAAACUGACUCUUUCCCCACCCCCGUCUCUGCCAGAAGCCAUCAACUGUGGAUAAGUACACAGUUUAGCAUCUAUACCACAGGUUUUAAGAGUUCUCUUCAAUGGCUUUCUGUCUAUGCUGUUACUUGAUGGAGGGGGGCGGGGAGUAGGGGUUCUCACAGAAGCCUUCUAUGUCUCUCUCAACUGUAAGACUGCAGUCAUUAAUACCAUGGCAAAAAUAGCUUCCUUGGCUUUUACAUGGAGCAGGACCACAGAUCAUGGACUUAUACACGGUUUCUGGUGACAGCACCUGCCACAGACAUCAGCAUGGCCUCCAGUGGUAGUACAGAUUGCAGACACAAACACAGACCACUGGAUGCAGUAGAAACACAGACCCAGACAUUGUGGGCCUCAACAUGGCCUCAGGUGGUUGCACAGGAUACUCACAUCAUCACGGCCCCUGUAGAAGCACGGCUUAUGGAAAUCCAUAUGGUCAUCAAUGGUAACUCAGGCCAGGGUCAUUGACAUAGCUCCCAGCUGCUAUAGGACUAUGGACAUGACCCUACAGUUUCAACAUGGCCUGGAACAGUGAGCCAUCGAUAGCAGUGGGCAGCACUGACCUUAGAGAUCUUUCUAGGAGGUCCAACCAGAAAAUGAACCAUUCUUCCUCUUGGGCAUCCUGUCCUUGCUCAGCACGAAGGCUAUCACAUGGCUGGGCAGCAUGUUCGGAGGCUGAGUCGGAGGGAGGCAAGCUCCAGGCUGUGGCUCACCCCUGUGGGCCUACUCUGCAGUGACACGUUCUCCUGUCCACCACACCCCUCUCUCACGAGGGGUGUGCUUUCAUUCAAGGGGCAGGUGAGACAGUUGGUUGGUGGUGAUGGGCAGCUCACCCGUCUUCUGAUCUGCAGAGUUGGCGUUCUGUUCCUUUUCUUAUACAGCAGGAAGGAUUUUAAGUUACCCAGGCUGUUUCAGAGAACUAAAAGCAGCACUGAGGAACACAAUGUCAGCACCAUGCCCCCAUGGUGAUUUAAGGAACAUAUUACGUUUUCCUUUAGAAACAAAAUUUAUAAUGCCUUUUCAAGAUAGGUUCUUUUGAGUGACAUCAAUUGUGAGUAUGUGUUUUCAUUAAAAGUCUAAACCCGAAUUGUUUACAACAGUCUCAUUAAACUUAGAGGUGGUGGGUGAGGAGGUAAUUUGCUUCACUAACUUUCAUGUAAAGAUUCCCAGUUAUUAGUGGAAAAGGAAGCUCCCUCAAAGCUUGAUUUCAGGUCAAACUUUAAGGAGAACUUAAGUUUUGAGUUAUUCAAGUUAAAAACUGUGAAACAUUAUAUUAUUUUGUGGCUAAAGUUUAAUGUAAUUCUUAGGAUUUAUAUAAAAUAUGUUUUUUGAUAGAUUUCCAGAAAUAUGUUUUAUUUCCUAUUUUCUGUAUAUCUAAGCAUCUAAGUCUCUCGCCACCAUAUCAGUCAGAGCAUUGGCUCCUUUAUGUUCGUGUCGUUGGCAAGACUGGCUAUGCAAAGCCUUUUCCUUUGAGUCUAAAGCCUUCCUUGAAUUUAAUCCCCACCCUUAAGGACGUGGUUUUGGUGCAUCAGCAGAGCAAAGAAAGCCACUAUGUCAGUGAGUAACUUCUCCAGCAGCUAUUGUAAUACACUGCUUUCCUAGGGUUCACACAUAGAUUUCUCUGUACGAGAGGAAGGAGACACACUCUGUUGGACAGGAUCAGAGGAGACCCUGCUCUGGAGUGGAGAAGCAUCUCACUUGGUUCUCUCAGCCUGAUUCCUCUUUGCUUUGGAGCUGAGAAUAGCUGCAGUAGUAAUAACCUGUUUGGGACCAGCAGUUACAAAUUAGUGCCUUUGCUCUUUGGAAAAUUAUGUUACUCGAAAGUGCAGCGAACACUCCUGUCCUGCUCCAGUAUGUUUCCACUAGCCCAAUGUCUAUUUUACGAUUUUCAACACUGUGUCGCAUUAUACAUUUGGUUUUGCCUUGUAAGUCCUAUUAUUAUUCUUAGAAUCACACACCUAUGACAUUAGAGUCAACAAAUUUUAAAGCCUCUACUACAUACAAGUAGUUAAAGUGUGUAAAACUUGCUAACAACUAUGUUUCUGCCUUUUGUCUUUACUUUGCUAUGCACCUUAUUGUUUUUUGGAUUAUAUUAUUAUUAUUGUUGUUGUUGUUCUUUUAAAGACAUUCUUAUCUUGUAAUCUGGGCUAGCCUGGAAAUUACUGUGUAGCCCAGGCUGGCCUCAAAUUCACGAUCCUCUCAACUCAGCCUCCCAAGGGUUGGGGAUAUAGGAUUAUAGUUACCAUAUCUGACUGUAUUGUUAUCCUUGAUUUACUAUUUGUUCUUAAAAAUGUUUAUUAUAUGAUACUAUGUCAUAUCACACCACCAGCAGCCUCAUACACCUCACCUUUACCAUCCUUUUUGAUUGUAUCAAGUGUCCACAUCAAGCAGUCGAGCUACAUACCAUACAGGCUUGUAUGAAUACACAUCAUGAUGUUGACACAAGUGAGUCGCCCAUUGUCUUCAUCAACUCUUACCCCAAUCAGGAAUCCAGUAGGAGUAGUUCCUCAAGAGCCACCUUUUCUUUCAAGCUCAAUCUAGUCCUUACUUCCUGUCACCCUCCCACUUUGGUGGUGACCUCUUUCUGGCACAAUGCUCUCUUCUUUGUUAAAUCUGUAAAUUCCCUUAGGAAGGGAAUUGAGACUAAACAGGGAUAACCAUGUAUUUUGUGACUGAAAAGAGGGUUUAUUCUGAGUCAACAGACAUAAAGUGGCAUUUCGAGACACUUGUCACUGUACCUGUAAAAAAAAAAAAAAAAAAAAAAAAACCAAAAAACAAAACCCAAAAAGCUGUGAUUUAAUAGUUGAUUAUACUAUACAAAUUUGUCUUUGUGGAAAGGAUUUUGUACUUUAAUAGAGCUGAAGGUGUUAAAUUAGAAAAAAAAUUAGUUUCUAGUCAGGGAAUGAAUAGGACAGCCUUAAAAUAAAGAUAGGAUAAUGAUUUACUUUGUCCACGCUUACGACUGGCUUUGUGUAAUGCCUUAGCAAUCACCUCAACACUUCGAGCUUGUCCAAAUAAAAACUAAUGCUAUUGAUAACAGCAUUAACAGGUGACCUAUGUGUUUCUCCUUUGGAGGAGGAGAAACACACACAAAAUAGUAUGUUGUAGUUGUAAAAUAUUUGUUAAUUCAGAAAACCUUAUAAACACCAUCUUCAGCGGCUGGCCCUUCCUCUGUGAAGAACAAACAUAAAAAGGUUAUUUGGUUAGCGAGAUUGCUUCUUGUAUUUCUGCAUUUUGGAAGGAGAUGGCAGUAUUGAGCCUCGGCUCUAAUGCUCCACCAUUGGAAGGAGCUUGAAAUUCUUGGUAAGGGAGACUAUCAUUUUAGUUAAGCUCAGUUCAUCUCCCAGGAUUUUAUUUUCUACCAUCUUUCUUCUAUGGAGAAUAAGCAAGUGCUCUAAUGUAUCUUUUAUUAAAUCUGUUAUAUAAAGCUACUACUAAAUUACUCAUCUGUAGACAUCUAAGAACCUCAGUUUAAGGCACAUAUAGAAAACAACUUCUAAAACAAAACUAGGGCCAACUCUAAAGUGCAGAGAGAGAGGGAUGUUUAUGAUGUGAUUAUUUUCCUAAGGCUUUGACAGGAAGAAUUAACUUUACAUUCCCAGUACUCAGUACCCUUUACUGAUCCGCAUCAUAUGGUAAAUGAAUUUGUUCUCUGGGAAUACACUUCAUGAUUUCCUCCUUUUGAGGGAGAGGGCACUAGGCUACAAGAAAGAGACUUUAUCCAGGGCUGAUGCUCUGAAGAACUGUUUAGAGGAUGAGGAAUUAUUUACUUCCUUUCACUCACACCCACUGCUAAGCCUGCAUUCCAAACCUAAGGGAGGGAAGAAGAGUGACUCACACAUCUUUUAGCUGUGUGUCGAAUAAUAGAACAGGUAACAGUGCUCUUUGUCAAUAGUCAAAAGCAAUCGAGCAGUACAAUUUUAAGGCUGUAAAGCAUGGGAAAAAUAGAACAGUACCGUGUUUAUCACUGAGUCUUAGUAAGUUGUUUUUAAAUGUGUAAGCCAAGAUUAGCAAAGUAAGCUGCCAUGCUUACGGAUCUGAAUGGCAGUUGGAACAGCAUGGCAUUCUGCUAGCUAUGCCUGAAACAGCUGUCCCUGCUAUAAUUAAAAGAAAUACUUAAACGUGUGAAAUUAUUAGGUCUCUGAAAUAACAUACAUAAAGUUGUGUAAUUAUUUAGUUUGGUUAUCAUAGAUAGCAAGAUUUUCUUUUGUGCCUUGACUUUUAUAUGUUUAAAAUUAUUGUUGAAAUGUUACGUGACAAAUAAUUUAUGGAUUUAGCUAAGCCAGCAAUUCUGUUUGGUUUCCCACAUAAGGGAAGGACCCAACAACAACAUCUUCAUUUCAUAUUGUUCCGAUAAAUUGAAUGAUAUUAUUUUUUUAACCAAAAGGAAAUUUCUUCUCAGCUGGACUCUUUCACUGUAGGUUUUAAUCACAAACUUUGAAAAUGAGAACAUAGCUAUUAUUUUUUAUUAAAAAGAUAUGUUCUGGUUAGUUUGGAAAGGCCUGACAAGCGAAGGCUUCCAACGGCAUGUCCAAAACCUUAAAAUGUAGUGUUGAACUUAGAAGGAGUAAGAUACUUUUUCUGGUAUGGAUGGAUCAUAAAGUGUCGUAAGAGGCACAUAAAGUGUUUCUAUGGGCAUUGUCAGGGAGCUCUUACUAUCCUCAGAUCUACAGCUAAUAGUAGGUUAAUGAAGGCCAGAUACUGUGUGUUUGAUUUAGGUGUGGACAGUUACUACCAAGCUUCCCUUGAGAAACAGGUGGAAGCCAGCGGUUGUCGUCUCUGUCAUAUGCUAUAAUUGAAGCAUGCGGUCUUACAUGUAACGCAUAGUCCAAAUGUUUACUGAGUAUGUGCUUGCUUGGUGGUGUUUAGAUGCUCUCUUUCUUUUUCUUUUCCUCUGCCUAGCCCCAGUGUGUGUGUGUGUGUGUGUGUGUGUGUGUGUCUCGUACUUGGAUUGAAUUUAUGGCCUCAUGACAAGUGAACUAUCAACUAAGCUCUAUUUCUAGCCCACCUCCUCCUUUCUUUUUUCUUUUUUGUCUUAUAUGUUUGUGUGUGUGCAUGUGUACAUGAAUGCAGGAGCCCUUGGAGGCUAGCAGAGGGUGUUGGAUCCACUGGAGCUGGAGGGGUAAACUACCAUAUGAGUGUUGGGAACUGAACUUCUGUCUUCUGGUUGAGCAAUAUACAUUCUUAACCACUGAGUUGUCCUUCCAGUUCUUCUUCAAAAUUUUCCAUCCUUUGUGUGUUUCUGUGUAAAAAAGACUAAAUUGUGUAACCAAAUCUUGUGGAACUAAAUCUACACUAUGAACCUCUGCGUGGAUUUUUGAUAUUUAACUUUUCUCAGUGUAGUUUUUGAGUAGAAGAAACACUUGAAAUCUUUAAAUACUUUCUCUAGACUGCUGAAUUGUUACAGUUAGAGUAACUGAGGCAAUUAUUGGCUUCUUAGCUCAGUUAAAAUGUGGCAGUCUUUCAGCGUGAGCAGCCUUACGCUUGUGUAGAGUGAAGCAAUUGAGUAAAAGUGAUGGUUUAGCCAGUCUUUAGCUCUCCUGUUAUCUUUUGGUCCCGUUGAAGCUAAAUGCUGUCAUCUGCAUAAUCUUCCUUAACUCCUUCUUCAACAGCUUAAAUAGGAACAUAGCAAAGUCAGAUCCUCUCCUAACCUGGAUGUGCUUCUGGGAGGAGUUAACCACUGUUAAGAACAUACUCUUGAAUCUGUUAGCUUCUGCAUCAGGUAAAGAAACCACGAGGAGAGCCCUGACAUUUUUCAGCUUUGAUGUGGAAAAAUACAUAUGAAUGCCAAUAUGCUUAGAAGAAGCAAACCCAGCCCUGAGACCAUUUGUCAUCAAGCAUUGAUUGUAACUCUGUUUUAUUAUGGCAUACAGGAAGAAAGCCGAAGGCCUGAAGAAAAAUCAAAGGCAAGAAACAUGAACACAAUGGGAAGAGCCUGUCUAUUCCCUGUUUCAAGCAGACAUGCUCGACACUGCAGAACGGAGUGAUGCUCAACUUACUCACCCGCCUUCUGUAAGCCCAUCAUAUGAUUUUGGUAAAUAGCAGAGUUGCCUUGAUUUCAGUAUCAUUUUUGCAUUUUAUAAUAAAGCAAGUGCUCUAGGGACUAGUUUUCUGGCUAAUUCAUGUUUGUGCAAACCACUGCAACCUCCUGACAUAGAACAUAUGUCAUACAAAUUCAGAGGAAAUGAACUGUUUGGCUCCCUAGGGUAUGAUUAGAAAGUCUGACACAGCAUUCACAGACUAUUGCUUUACCACAAAUAGACAGUAUUUUCACAGGUACGAAAAUGGUUCUCAUGGAGAGCACAUGUCAAUGAAAAGUCAGAAGCUUCGGUCCCAGAAUACUAUCAUGUUAUAAAGACUAACCAUAAACUGUUUUUAAUAAUAAUGUAAUAUUUCGCUUUAAUUAUAUAUAUGUAUAUAUAAAUAUGUGAUUUAUAUAUCAUAUAUAUGAUUUUCUAUGGCAUGAAAUCUCAAGUGAUGCUAAUAAUAAUGUCACAUCUCAGAGAAACAUAGUUCAUACCUAUUCGUUGUUAAAUGGUAUUUAAAAUUGUUUCUUUAUAACAUCCUUUGGUUACCCACCGGAAAAUGUAGUCAACUGUUUGACAGUUUCACAAUUUACAGAAAGGCCUCCAAAUAUAUUCAACCUCUUUCCAUUAUUUCACAUUCUGGACGUCUCAUGAACCAUGAGAAAAGCAGGCCUAUAACACCCAAGUCACUUGCUAGCUGUUGGGCAGUGAACAAGAAGUAGCACUAAAACUAGUACACAGGGCACCUCACCGUGCAGAAAUAUUUGCUGUCGCAGUUAAUCUCUGUGACUGGUAAAGAGAAAAUGGAAUUUCAAAAAAGCCAAAAUUACAUUGCUCUCUCUUGGCUUUACGUAUCUCUGGCUUCCAUUCUAUUGACUAAGAGGUCAGUUUUUGCUGGAGCAAGAAAUGGAAGAGGACGCCACAAACCGCGCUCUAUGCUUUUAUGACAGUGGUUUGUACCCUUCUGGUCCUCUGCUUCAGUCUUGUUUCUCUUGUUGACUCUGGGAGUUCAUUGCUUAACUGAAAGCUCUUGGACCAGUUAUUUACCCUCCCUAGCUUCCGUCUUUCAGUGAAUUAGGGAUGGUGAUGGUUCAUUAUGUAGUUGUUGAGAUUGAUUGAGUGACCAGCAUGUGGAAUAUUGCCUAGUGUUUAGUACAGAUCAUGUGUAUUUGGUCAACUAAAUAUAAAUACUGACUAUGCUCAUUACUUUUUUUUUUUUAGAGAAUACUUUAUUAGUUUUUGUAAUCAAACCCACGUAUAUAAGACCUUACAUAUUCAAUACAGUGUGUUACCCCUGUACAAAUGGAAAAAACUUAAGUUCAACAUUUCUAGACCAAUAUGGCUGUUAAUUUCUGUACAGUGCCAACUCAACACAGUAAACGGGGAUACUUUUUUCGAAAGUUGACAGCACAGGUAAAGUUUCAAAAAAUUCAAAUUAUAUAUCUGUAUAUAUAUAUUUAUAUUUAUAUAAAAAGACCAAUAAUAGCAGUGUGUUAUGCAUCAACAGCAGCAACAGCUUUUCCAGGUUCUGCAGUCAUCUGAACAAAACUGUAGAGACAUCCAGCACACUCCAUUAAAAAAAAAAAAGUAAAAAAACAAAACCCGAGAAAACAGCACAGUUCUGUUACUCUUGUGGUACCUGGCACCAUUUUUUUUUUUAAAUUAGCUUCUCAAUCAUCAUCUGGAAAGAAAACAUUCUGAGCAACAUCAUUAAAAACAGCUCUGAUAAAGCACGGUCACUACUACGUGUCAUAAAGCAGGUACAAGCUAUUUUACAUCCACAGAGGUAUGAUACAGUACUGUCCUACAUCUAUAAUACUAGAGGAUACAAUUUAAAAGGCAUUAUUUGAGACUUGAUUCUACUUUUCCAGCAGAGGGCCCAAAGGAUGGUGUGACACAGCUUUGUAAAGAAACAUACUCUAGACAGGAUUUCCUUUCACUAGUGGCACAGUUCUAAGGAUUCAUUCUCUCCAUGAAUGUCAGCUAAAACCGUUAUUAAAAAAAUGAAAUAUCCCUAGAACAAAACCGUAUAACCACCGGAUUCACAUGAAGAUGACCUAGUGGAGACAAGCUGGACCUCACCUUACCAACAAGCUAUCAAAUCUGUUAUGUUUAAACAGUGAGACCUCCAAGGAAGGAAAUGCCAAGUAGUGCUUCAAAGCUUCGGACCACAAUCAAGCACAGCAUCCUUUUCAACAGAAGCAGAAGCUCAUCUGAAUAUGCUCAUGGAUGCUGACAUCAACAUUUAAUCAUCUCCUCACUCAUCCAGGAGGGGGAGAUCAGUUACUACUGUACUUUAUUGUGUUCAACCAAAUCACCAUGUUACAAAAAUAGCAAGCUGCCAUAAUAAAAAAUAAGGCUCCUCUA